rnacentral:rRNA from 1 species
UACGGAGGGGGCUAGCGUUGUUCGGAAUCACUGGGCUUAAAGGGCGCGUAGGCGGAUUCUCAAGUCCGGGGUGAAAUCCCACGGCUCAACCGUGGAAGUGCCUUUGAUACUGCGGGUCUCGAGGGAGGUAGGGGCGUGCGGAACUUCCGGUGGAGCGGUGAAAUGCGUAGAUAUCGGAAGGAACACCGGUGGCGAAAGCGGCGCGCUGGACCUCUUCUGACGCUGAGGCGCGAAAGCCAGGGGAGCAAACGGG